GCCCCGGGCCGCGAGCGCCCGGCCCUCCCCUUCUCCCCCGAAGGUGCGCGGGCGGCCGUCACCGCGCGUUCUCGUCAGAGCGGGCCUGAGGGGCGCUGCGGGCUUCCGUCGCUCGGGGGGCGACGGCCCCCUGAGCCCUUCCGUGGGUGUGCGUGUAGGAUGCGGACCCAGCGCCAACCUUGCGUCCACGCGCCCGUGCAAAACCCGCGCCCAUAGCACCUGAAUGGUCUUUGACCUUAACUUCUGGAUCUGCUGUGCAGAGCGGUACAGAAAUUUCCGACGGGUACCAGGUCCUUAAUCCCAAACCGACCCCAAAUUAGAAAAAAACAUAAUAUGCCGAGCAAGAGAAUAGCCAACGGGUUGUCCUGAAAUUCAUAAACAACUUAAAGAUAUUUUCUGCCCAACCUGAUACAAUAAGAGAUAUAGCACUUUCAAGGCUAUGUAGUGGAACAGCUCUGGAAAAAGACAGCCAUGGAUUCAAAUCAUGAGUAACUACAAGAUGACUGAAGUUGCUGUGGAAAGUGAACUAUGAGAUCAAUCAGGAAGCUACUGCAGCAGUUUGACGAAAGAAGAGAAAUCUGGCAGUGGAGAUGGUGAGAGCUUAGACUGUCAAAAGAACCAACAUGCUGAUGGAUUGGACAUGGGAUGGGAAGAUGGAGGCCUAACAAGGUUGGAUAACUUGUUCAUGUCACAUAACUACCAAAUGUUAAGAGGAUUCAAACAAAGGUGGCUAUUUCCAUUGUACCACCAGACAGAGAAGUCUUCUAGUUACCUAUUUUCAAUCUACACAAGUUAUUUUCAAAUUGGAAUGUGGUUUGAUUUUGAUUAUUGAAAUGACUUUAGAUUUUCAAUGACCACAAAUCCAAAAUAAUACUACUAUCUAGUAAUAAUACAGUCUCCUCUCAAUUUUUCUUAUGCCACACUCACCUUGCCCCCUAUCCGGACCUGAGCCUGAAGUUUGGCUAACUUUUCUUGAUUCAUGCUGUUGGUAAAUCUAGGGGGGGAAAAAUAGAUUUGUUAAAGUCACUGUUUUACCAAAAUAAAAUAACUGUUUAUGCAACAGUACCUUCUGGUUCACUAGGCUUGCAAUAUGCAUCACCACCAUGAUAUUAAUACUCUCUCUAUAUUCUUAAUAAAUAUUAAUAACUUGUUCUGGCUUCAUAAACCAGAUAUUAAAAGAACCAAAAUUAAAUAGGACCACCAAGGUGUCUAAUAUACAAACAGAAAAUAGAAAGGGAUCCAAGUUACCUAUUUGAAGAUCCUUCCUUAAAAAAAAAUUCAAUUCUUUAGCAUUCAGCAAAACCUACCCAGUUAUAAAAUCUCUAGACAAAGCCAGUUUUCUUACCCCAGAGAUUUUUACAGCAGACAGCAUUUACCAAAUGUUAUUAGCACAACCUUUAAGUAGACUUUUUCUCCCAAAUCAUAAAUGAACCAUAAAUAACUUUGUAACCAUAAACAGAAACCACCCACCAAAAGCCAAAGAAAAAAUUCAACAAAGGCUCUCUAGCUGUCAAGAUAUGAGGUAGCAUAUCUUCAAGGUCAGAUGGUAAUGUUAAUAACAGGAAAAGAGAGCCAGAUUUUCAGACAUUCAGCAGUUUAGCAACCCUUUCCACAGAGUUCAUUCAGUACCUUGCACUGAUAUAGUAUGUCACACUUGUCAAGAUAUUCUUGCAUACAUGGUAAAAUGCCUCCUUGCACAAUUUGAUAAAAACAUCUCUACUACUUUACUUUUAAAUUUUUGUGUGUCUUUAGGGGCAAGGAUAUUCUUUUUUUUGGGGGGGGCAAGGAUAUUCUUAAAAAUUAACUUUUUUAAGGCUAAUUUUGAUUUUGGAAAUUCAAAGAAAAUUGUAAAAUCAUAAAUCCUAAUCUGGUGAUAUUCCUAUUAAAGAAAAAAGGUUCUUAAGUUUAUAAUGGGUUGUAACAUUCCACACUAUUUGUUUAUACAAAUAAAAGCCAAGGUUAAAAGCCUUGUUUUACUUGUUCUGUGGACCAACAGAUCGUUAGUAAGAUGUGAAAGAGGAAAUAAAGGCUGUUAUCAAACCUUU